ncrna:Desulfitobacterium hafniense DCB-2 Moco (molybdenum cofactor) riboswitch
AAUAUAAUAUAUCUCCAAGCUGGUGAGACCUAAGGGAAUUCUACGGUUGCCGGCCAGGACGAAAGUCCUCAGGGUGUGUCUGGAAACGGAUAGGCCUUCACGUUUGAAAAGGAGGGAAGAAAAGUGCUUU